rnacentral:tRNA from 1 species
GCCUCAAUAGCUCAGUCGGCAGAGCGAGCGGCUGUUAACCGCUAGGUCACAGGUUCGAGCCCUGUUUGAGGCGCCA